rnacentral:rRNA from 1 species
GAUGAACGCUGGCGGCGUGCCUAAUACAUGCAAGUCGAGCGAACAGAUGAGGAGCUUGCUCCUCUGACGUUAGCGGCGGACGGGUGAGUAACACGUGGAUAACCUACCUAUAAGACUGGGAUAACUUCGGGAAACCGGAGCUAAUACCGGAUAAUAUAUUGAACCGCAUGGUUCAAUAGUGAAAGACGGUUUUGCUGUCACUUAUAGAUGGAUCCGCGCCGCAUUAGCUAGUUGGUAAGGUAACGGCUUACCAAGGCAACGAUGCGUAGCCGACCUGAGAGGGUGAUCGGCCACACUGGAACUGGGACACGGUCCAGACUCCUACGGGAGGCAGCAGUAGGGAAUCUUCCGCAAUUGGCGAAAGCCUGACGGAGCAACGCCGCGUGAGUGAUGAAGGGCUUCGGAUCGGAAAACCUUGUUAUUAGGGAAGAACAAAUGUGUAAGUAACUAUGCACGUCUUGACGGUACCUAAUCAGAAAGCCACGGCUAACUACGUG